AUCAAUAAGCGGAGGAAAAGAAACCAACCGGGAUUGCCUUAGUAACGGCGAGUGAAGCGGCAAAAGCUCAAAUUUGAAAUCUGGUACCUUCGGUGCCCGAGUUGUAAUUUGGAGAGGGCAACUUUGGGGCCGUUCCUUGUCUAUGUUCCUUGGAACAGGACGUCAUAGAGGGUGAGAAUCCCGUGUGGCGAGGAGUGCGGUUCUUUGUAAAGUGCCUUCGAAGAGUCGAGUUGUUUGGGAAUGCAGCUCUAAGUGGGUGGUAAAUUCCAUCUAAAGCUAAAUAUUGGCGAGAGACCGAUAGCGAACAAGUACAGUGAUGGAAAGAUGAAAAGAACUUUGAAAAGAGAGUGAAAAAGUACGUGAAAUUGUUGAAAGGGAAGGGCAUUUGAUCAGACAUGGUGUUUUGUGCCCUCUGCUCCUUGUGGGUAGGGGAAUCUCGCAUUUCACUGGGCCAGCAUCAGUUUUGGUGGCAGGAUAAAUCCAUAGGAAUGUAGCUUGCCUCGGUAAGUAUUAUAGCCUGUGGGAAUACUGCCAGCUGGGACUGAGGACUGCGACGUAAGUCAAGGAUGCUGGCAUAAUGGUUAUAU
rnacentral:rRNA from 1 species